AAGGCGGGCCGUGUCGUCGCUUCGCGGAGCGCUCAGGCGCUCCGCGGGGAGGAAAGUCCGGGCUCGCGAAGGCGCGGCGCCGGGUAAUCACCGGGCGCGCGAGCGAACGGGGGCUUUCGGGCCUCCGGGAGGGCGCGCGACAGACAGCGCAACAGAAAACGAACCGCCCAAGCGUUCCGCGUUCGCGCGGAACGACGGCAAGGGUGAAAAGGCGGGGUAAGAGCCCACCGCGCCGCCGGUAACGGCGGCGGCAUUGCAAGCCUCGCCGCGAGCAAGGCCGAGCAGCGGGAGGACCGCCGGUCCCGCGGAGCCUUAGGGCUUCGCGCCCCGCGGGUAGGCCGCGCGGAGGUUCCGGGCGACCGGAACCCGAGAUGGAUGACGAUGCCCCGAAAGGGGACAGAACCCGGCUUACAGGCCCGCCUUCUUU
rnacentral:RNase_P_RNA from 1 species